UGGACAGUGAUCAUAAGACAAGAAAUAUAUAAACAAAAAGUGAAACCGUGAAAAGAGAAGCAUUUAUAGAAGCUGCACUACAGCAUCUAAUCAGGAGGACUUUUCCCAAGCAUCAGUGACAGUGCUGGACUACACAGUGGAGGAACCUCAAAAACAUUUUGCUAAGUAAAAGAAGCUGGACAAAAA